ACAUAACUGAUGCCUCCGCGUAUCGACUUUGUGCGCAUUUUAGCUAUUAUGUGUUCUUUUAAUUAAAAUGAUUCUUUUUAAGAUUCAUCUAUUAAAAAUUUGCUUCGGCAUAAUUUUUUUUGAUGAUCUUGUUACUUUGAGUAAAUUAGAGUGUUCUCAAAGCAAACAGAUAUAGCAUUUGUGCGUUUGAAUACUACAGCAUGGAAUAACAAAAUUGGACAAGUCAGAAUUUUUUUGUUCUUUUUUCUUAUUUUGGCUUAGUUACGAUUAAUAGGAGUAGCUUGGGGGCAUUUGUAUUCAGAUGUCAGAGGUGAAAUUCUUAGAUUUUCUGGAGACAAACAACUGCGAAAGCAUUUGCCUAAAAUACUUCCAUUAAUCAAGAACGAAAGUUAAGGGAGUGAAGACGAUCAGAUACCGUCGUAAUCUUAACCAUAAACUAUGCCGACUAGGCUUUGGAUGAAAGAUUUUAAAAUAAGAGUUUUUCUUUUCUCUCCGGAGAUUAGAACUCUUAGAUUGCUUCCUUCAGUGCCUUAUGAGAAAUCAAAGUCUUUGGGUUCUGGGGCGAGUAUUCGCGCAAGCGAGAAAGUUAAAAGAAUUGACGGAAGGGCACCACCAGGCGUGGAGCUUGCGGCCUAAUUUGACUCAACACGGGAAAACUCACUAGUUUAAGACAAGAGUAGGAUUGACAGAUUAAUAGCUCUUUCUUGAUUUCUUGGAUGGUGAUGCAUGGCCGUUUUUAGUUCGUGAAUAUGAUUUGUCUGGUUAAUUCCGAUAACGAACGAGAUCUUAACCUGCUAAUUAGCGGCAAAUACGAUAUAUUCUUAUGUAGAAUUGAAUAUAGUGGAUUUGUUAGAUUUUGAAGAAAAUAUUGGAAUUACGUUAAAUGUGAUUCCUUUCCCUUUUCUACUUAAUUUACAUUUCCAUCUUAUUUCUUUUUUGCGUAUGAAUGUGUUUGCUUGAUUGUAAAGCUUCUUAGAGGAACGAUGUGUG
rnacentral:rRNA from 1 species